rnacentral:rRNA from 1 species
UACGAAGGGGGCUAGCGUUGCUCGGAUUUACUGGGCGUAAAGGGCGCGUAGGCGGACGGACAAGUUGGGGGUGAAAGCCCGGGGCUCAACCUCGGAACUGCCUUCAAAACUGUCAGUCUAGAGUUCGAGAGAGGUGUGUGGAACUCCGAGUGUAGAGGUGAAAUUCGUAGAUAUUCGGAAGAACACCAGUGGCGAAGGCGACACACUGGCUCGAUACUGACGCUGAGGCGCGAAAGCGUGGGGAGCAAACAGG